UGGGGAAUGAUUGCACAAUGGGCGAAAGCCUGAUGCAGCAACGCCGCGUGAGUGAUGAAGGCCUUCGGGUUGUAAAGCUCUGUCUUUUGGGACGAUAAUGACGGUACCAAAGGAGGAAGCCACGGCUAACUACGUGCCAGCAGCCGCGGUAAUACGUAGGUGGCAAGCGUUGUCCGGAUUUACUGGGCGUAAAGGAUGCGUAGGCGGAUUUUUAAGUGAGAUGUGAAAACCCUAGCUUAACUUGGGACUGCAUUUCAUACUGGAAAUCUAGAGUGCGGGAGAGGAGAAUGGAAUUCCUAGUGUAGCGGUGAAAUGCGUAGAGAUUAGGAAGAACACCAGUGGCGAAGGCGAUUCUCUGGACCGUAACUGACGCUGAGGCAUGAAAGCGUGGGUAGCAAACAGGAUUAGAUACCCUGGUAGUCCACGCCGUAAACGAUGAGUACUAGGUGUAGGAGGUAUCGACCCCUUCUGUGCCGCAGUUAACACAAUAAGUACUCCGCCUGGGAAGUACGAUCGCAAGAUU
rnacentral:rRNA from 1 species